UAGUCCACGCCGUAAACGAUGUCUGCUAGCCGUCGGGGUACUUGGUACUUCGGUGGCGCCGCUAACGCAUUAAGCAGACCGCCUGGGGAGUACGGUCGCAAAAUUGAAACUCAAAGGAAUUGACGGGGGCCCGCACAAGCGGUGGAGCAUGUGGUUUAAUUCGAUGCAACGCGAAGAACCUUACCAUCCCUUGACAUCCAGAGAAUCUGUUAGAGAUAGUAGAGUGCCUUCGGGAGCUCUGAGACAGGUGCUGCAUGGCUGUCGUCAGCUCGUGUUGUGAAAUGUUGGGUUAAGUCCCGCAACGAGCGCAACCCUUGUCUUUAGUUGCCAUCAUUUAGUUGGGCACUCUAGAGAAACUGCCGGUGACAAACCGGAGGAAGGUAAGGAUGACGUCAAGUCAGCAUGCCCCUUACGCUCUGGGCUACACACGUGCUACAAUGGUCGUGACAAAGAGUUGCUAGUCUGCGAAGGCAAGCCAAUCUCAUAAACGCGGCCUU
rnacentral:rRNA from 1 species